rnacentral:misc_RNA from 1 species
GAUGAAGAACGUAGCGAAAUGCGAUAAGUAAUGCGAAUUGCAGAAUUCAGUGAGUCAUCGAAUCUUUGAACGCACAUUGCGCCCGCUAGUAUUCUGGCGGGCAUGCCUGUCCGAGCGUCAUUUCAACCCUCAAGCCCCCGGGCUUGGUGUUGGGGAUCGGCGAGCCUCCGCGCCCGCCGUCCCCUAAAUCUAGUGGCGGUCUCGCUGUAGCUUCCUCUGCGUAGUAGCACACCUCGCACUGGGAAACAGCGCGGCCACGCCGUUAAACCCCCAACUUCUGAACGUUUGACCUCGGAUCAGGUAGGAAUACCCGCUGAACUUAAGCAUAUCAAUAAGCGGAGGA